GGGGCAUCUUGACACGGGCGAAACCCUGAUCAGCCAUGCCGCGUGAGUGAUGAAGGCCUUCGGGUGGUAAAGCUCUUUCGGCAGGGAGAAAUGGCAGGUCCUAAUACGUGAGGGACAUGACGUUCCCUGCCUAAUAAGCACCGGUUUACUACGUGCCAGCAGCCGCGGUAAUA
rnacentral:rRNA from 1 species